GAGAACAACAAACCAACCAACAAAAAGUCCCCUUGGAAGACUGAGAAUCACAGCGAGGUUUUCUGAGCUCCACAAAUAGAGCUCGUCAAGAAAUGGGAAGGUGCAGCAUGCAGAAAAGGGGCUCCCUGCUGCGGCCGGCCCCAUCGUGCCCUGGGAACAAGGAGCGGGGGAAGGUUCUAUUUCAUAAUUACUAGCAGGAGCAGAAGAUUGGAAGCAAUACCUGGAGUGCAGAAAUUGUUUGCAAAUCCAAAGAACAGGGCCACGGAAUUGAUAAGGAGACAAGGAAAGACUUAUGAAGCAGAGGAGCAACAACAGCAAACGAGCCAGACCAUCUGAAUGCAGCUGAAGGAUGUAUGCCAGGGUCGUAUAUGACUCAUCUCUGGUCAGAGACACCGUCCUGGCUGUGCUUCUGUUGAUCUCGAAAACAGAAACAGGAGGAAAGAGAGGCAGAGAGAUGUAGAAGGAAUGGCUACAAGUCAGGUAGCCUUUGCAUAUCAUUCAUCAUAUUGCGUGGACCUAGAAAGCCCUGCCAAGAGCUUCUGGACCCAAAUAAAUGUAUCUGUUUGGCGCUGGACUGCAUUGACGUACUGGCUCUGGUCUCAGAACAUAGCUCUGGAUUUUCUAAACUACAUUCUAUUUUUUUUUUAGUGUAGGCAUGGCUUAAAAUAACUUCUUGGCCAGCUCUUCCAUCAGCUGUAAACAGUGAGGAACUGGGGACGGAAAGGAAACUUAGCCAUGUUGUAUCAUAUUGAGCAUAUAGCAGUUAGUGUGGUGUUAAUGAAACAUGAAGGUUGGGAGCAUGGUGGUUACAGCUAGCUAAGACAAUGCAUGUAGUUUUUUCUUUACAUAAAGAAAAAAAAAAUUCUCAAAGCAUAUUGGUAUUUCAAGGUUCAGGUGGGAAAUGUGAGCGCUGCACAUUAAGAAUAAUGUGAUCUGUAGAGUUGGGACUAGGAGACUCUAUACAGUGGUAUGUUACAAGUCUGUGUAAGAACAAAUGAGGCCAUAAAUUAGAGGUGACUGGUAGAAUUCAGUUAAUUAGAAUUUAUGAUUGUAUAGGGGAUGCUUUGUGCUACUAAGAGGCAUUAGACUACAUUGUGUUAAAUACAGUCUGUAUACAUAAUUGUGGUCUGGGAUUUUGACCCAGUACUUUUUCCUCACUGUGGGGUUACAAGUCUGCUGUGCUGUUACAAAUUUCUUUAUAUUCCUAUAACUUCAUCUGAUGUUUUCUCGCUGUGACAUGCUAUAAGAAGAAAAACAUUGGCAGCAGUAAGCCAAAGCCUUCAGUUCCUCCGAGGUCUGCUCGCUAUGCUGAUGGUAUUCCUGAACCAUCACAGAGCGAGGUGGGCAUGCAAGCGUGUGCUCUCCAUUUCUGAGCACAGCCUGUAUGAACAAACAGAGACAGUCUGCUUCAGUUUCUGGUAAAUGUUUGUGUGCAACUGCCUAAAAGAGAAGAUAUUCAAGGCCUCCUGCCCUCUCCUUUUGUUGUUAGGACAUACUGAAGGUGAAACUCAUUCCUCAUGAGAAAUUCUUUGAAAAAUCCUAGUGUAUAGGACAUGGAAGCUUGUGCCAAAUUCUGGAUGGUUCCAAACAUCUGGGUGCUCCUGCAUCGAAAUCUGUUCCCUGGUGCCAGCUCUGUGGUUUAGUGCUGUAAUGAGUAAUCAUCACUUCUUUCUUUUUUUUUU